GGCGCUCGCGUCCACGCACACUGCUGACCCCGCCGGGCUCACCCGCGCCGGCGGCUCCCAGCGGUCAGUCCACCCUCCUUCUGUCUGUCCAAGCGCCGGGCCCCGCCUCGGCGUGACGUCACAAUACGUGGCCCCGCCCGCGCCGGGCGGAGGGGCGGGCGCCGCUGGGUCCUAGAGCGCGCCGGUGGGCGUGGAGGUGGGGGCGGGACCCGGGGCGAAGCCGGGUGUCGUGGGUCGUGGCCAGGGCGCUCCGUGGGCCCACCCGGCCCUGGUUAGGAAAUCGCUGCCUGGCGGGGCCUCUCCUUCUGGGCCAGGGGCCCACGUGGACCCGGCGCCAUCUGUCCCACGGCGAGUUGCCUUGUAGACGCGGCGCGCCGCCAACGGGAGCAGAGGACCGGGUCCUGUCGCCGCCCCGAGGGUCAGCGCGAGGCCCGGGGACGCCCCCCUCGUGGGGACUCGGGCAGGGUCUGAGCGCCCCAUGAUUCCAGGGGUCCUUCCACCGUUCGUGGUCUGCCCGGGUCUGUGGGGCUCCCCAUCCUGAGCCGGGGCGUGUCCCUGAGGAGCGGCGUUCGGAAGUUUGCAGAGGGCCAGGGCAGUUUCGGCCAGGCGGGGGGGCCGGGGGCGCGACUCCUCGGGGAAGCGAAAGCCCACCCGCAGCCUGAAGCCCCUGAAGGUCCACUUCGGGGCCCAGGGCAGCAGCAGCCAGGACUGCCGUCCACAAGUGCGUUAGGUACCUUGUCACUGAAGACAGUGCUGGCCGGUGGAGCUCGGAUCCGCGAAGGGUACGUGCUUCAUCUCGAGCGCACAACUCUAGCACUCACUGAGAGAGAAAACAGGAAUUCCUGAGUGUGUCACCUGACCAAGCCUCUGAGGCCAGUGUACUGAGUAUCCACCAGAGAAGGCCGAGAACACAGCACCAGAAACGUACAAGGAAAUGAAACACAGACGGAGAAGGAAGUCCUGGAGGGGCUGGAGAAGAAAAGUGGUGUUCCUCCUUAGCCAGAUCCUCCCCCGAGCUCUGGAGCUCCAGAAUGUUCUGUCCUCUUUAUGGUGGAGGUUGGAGUAGGGAUAUAGUCUUCCCUCCCCACGCACCGGAGCAUCUGAGGCCACUGCAUCUGGCCCUGUUUGUCCUGGAGCACGUGGGCAAAGUGGUGCCCGUCCAUAGCCAGCUGCUGCCCUGGACGCAUCAGCUGUGCCAGGUGGAGCGUGGGCAGCAACGCCUCCAGAGCCCUGCGAAGUGCAUACAAUCUUGCAUUCUUGACCCAAGAUUUUGCCUCACAGAAGGGGCCUGUAAUCCUUGUGAACCCCACCUGUCUGGAGUAGAGGGGCACCCACUGGUCCAGAACCAUCGCUCAAGCAGAAGGAGAGAGCUCAUGUCGGCUGCUGCACAUUACCUGGCUUCCUGUGUUACAAACAAAAGAAGCCGGCCAAACUGUGCAGUCUGAAAAAUGAAACCCAGAACUAGCACAUCCUAGUUCCCGGAACCUGUGAACAUUACCUUCUGUGAAAAGAAAGAAAUUGCAGAUGUGAUUACGUUAAGGACCUUGCGAUGCAGAGAUUAUCCUGCAUUACCCAGGUGGGCCCUAAAUGCCAUCACAUGUAUCUUUAUAAGAGAGAGGCAGAAGGAGACUCGAGACACACAGAGGCCAUGUGGUGACGGAGCAGAGAGAGGUCUGAAGAUGCGGCCUUGAAGCCUGGAGUAAUGCAGCGCAGGAAUGCUGGCAGCCACCAGCAGCUGGCAGAGGCGGGGAGCGGAUCCUCCCAGGAGCCUCUGGAAGGAGCAGAGCCCUGCCAACGCCUUGAUUUUGACCCAGUUAAACUGAUUUCAGAUUUUUGGCUUCCAGAACCGUGAGAGAACAAAUCUCUGCAGUUUUAUGCCACCCAGCUUGUGGCAGUUUAUCACAGCAAACCACUGGGAACUAGUAUAGAAUCCAUAAGCGAAGGAGAAACACCUUCUCAGAAAAACAUGGCCCCAAGGAAGUCAUUGCCCGCAGACCAGCCCUGUAAGGAAUGUUUUGUUUUGGCCGCGUUGGGUCUUCGUUGCUGUGGCUUUCUCUAGUUGCAGCAAGCGGGGCUACUCUUCCUUGUGGUGCGCGGGCUUCUCGUUGUGGUGUCUUCUCUUGUUGCAGAGCACGGGCUCUAGGCACACGGGCUUAGUAGUUGUGGCGCACGGGCUUAGCUGCUCCGUGGCAUGUGGGAUCUUCCCGGACCAGGGCUCGAACCCAUGCCCUCUGCAUUGGCAGGCGGAUUCUUAACCACUGCGCCACCAGCGAAAUCCCCAACCCUGGAGGAAAUGUUAAAAUAAGUUAUUUAGUCAGAAGGAAAAUUGGAUCUCCGUAAAGAAUUGAAGACCCUCAGAGAAAGAAUAAAUGAAGGCAACUGUGGGCCACAGACAGGUGCCCACUGAGAGGCUCAGAAGUACCUGUGAAUGCUAACAUGGGGUGGGGGGUGGCCAGGAGCCAGCCCCCAGCCCCAGAGUUUCUACCUCUAAGGGGCUGACAGCAAGACACUGAUUUUCCUGAAGUGGAAAAAGGCGAGCUGAUUUUAUUUUUACUCGGCAAAGAAAGCUGUUUCUUCAUUGUGUAUUUUCCUUGGGGUGGCCUUUGAGAGGAGUUGUUGGAGUGGUGGGAACACCAACACUGACACUGACCAAUGCAGAAUAAAAACCAGAUGCUGGGCUGGUCAGAGCAAGAGUUGGGGCAACCUUGGAAGUAAGUAUUUAAAAGCUUUUAAAGAAGUUUAUAGGUUGGAGAGGAUUCUGGGAUGAUGGCAGAGCAAGAAGCACCGGGAAUGGCCCCCACCUGGACCACAACUGCAGGGACAGAAGCUGUCUGAUGUAACUAACUUGGAAUCCAGAGCUGGUUAAGGCUUGCAAGUUCCAGGGGAAGUGCUGGAUGGUUACUGCAGUCAAUUGUGGUGACUUUCAGGUCUUAGCACGUAGCACCUACCCGUCCCACCCUCAGCCACAUGGCAGGAGGCCAUACACGUGUUUCUAGAGCAGCUUGCAGAAGCCAGCCAGGGUGGACCAAAAGGACCUUGUCCUCCAAUAUCAGGAAUCUGCGCUCUGAUGCUGCUUAAGAUGGCAGAGAUGCAGCCAAAGAGGCAGGUGGCCAUUGUUGCCACACCUCCCCCCUUGUUGCAAACCCCUCCCCCACCAAGUGGAUUUCAAGGGCGAGUGCCCCGUUUAUCCCCCUUUGUUUUUCUCUUUUCCCCCUUUUCAAGCCAGACAUUAAAGACUAGGGCAUUGAAAAACAACUGCAUAGACACGAAAAGACAGAAAAUGAUGGCACAUGCCCAGGAAAGGCUCAGGAAAGACCUGAGCAGACAUUAAGUUUCCACCUCAGGCUGAGCCUCAGCUCAGACAACCUACAACAAGCAAAGAACAAAAACAAUAACAAAAAGCAUCAGACCUUGAGGAAGGGGGAGAAUCCGAUUUCCAGAGUUACCACAUUAUUGGAUUCAAAUGUCCAAUUUUCAGCAACAACAAAAUAAAAAUCACAAGGCAUACAAAGAAACAGGAGAGUAUGACCUGUUCAAAGGGAACAAUUAUUUAAUAGAAACUGGCCCUAAAGAAGACCUGAUGACAGAUCUACUCGAUGAAGACUUUAAAACAACUGCCUUAAAGAUGCUCAAAGAACUAACGGAACAUAGAACGUUGAGAAAGCAAUGUGUGAACAGUGGAGCUAUCAGUAACGAGGGAGAAAACCUAAAAGAAACCAAAAAGAAAUUCUGGAGCUGAAAAGUACAAUAGCUGUAAUGAAAAACUCACUAGAGAAAUCAAAGGCAGAUUUGAACAGGCAGAAGAAAGAAUCUUUCGAAAAUCUAUCUUAUUUCAAGUUCUAAACAGCUGGCAGUAAGACAUUGGUCUAUGUCCAAAUUUGAGAAAAUGAAGACCCUUUCUGCCUUUGGGGAGGUUUAAGCCAGUUCCUCCUUUUCUGUUUUCCUCAAUCUGUUCAUUCUGCAGUUUUGACUGCUUGUUCACACACCGAAACCCCUGGAGGGCUUUAAAACCACAAAUGCCAAGGCGUCCAGAGUGCUGACAAAUGUUACGUGGCUCUAUCAUGCAGCCAGGUCUGAGAGCCACUGUUUUAAAAUUCACAACUAGUACCGGAGGUCCUCAUGACUCAGGAUAAUUGCUUCUGGGAAAGGCAACUUACUGUAAAUGGGGCCAGAAUUGCAUAAUAAAUAGUACGUUAAAAAAAUAGUUAAUUAUGUUGCAUUAAAAAUAAAAGUUAAGGGCUUCCGUGGUGGUGCAGUGGUUGAGAGUCUGCCUGCCGAUGCAGGGGACACGGGUUCGUGCCCCGGUCUGGGAAGAUCCCACAUGCCGCAG